GAUGAACGCUGGCGGCGUGCCUAACACAUGCAAGUCGAACGGAAAGACGAUGAGCUUGCUCCGCUCACGUUAGCGGCGGGCGGGUGAGUAACACGUGGAUCACCUCCCUAUAUUUCGGGGAUAAUUACGGAAAACCGGAUAUAAUACCAUAUAAUAUAUUGCACCGCAGUGUGCAAUGGAUAAUUACGGUUUUUCUGUCUCGAAUAGCGGCUUUCGCGCCGGAUUGGCUAGUUGGUAAGGUCCCGGCUUACCAAGGCAACGAUGCGUGGCCGACAGGAGAGGGUGAUAGGCCACCUGGGAAGGUGGACAGGGUCAAGAGUACUAAGGGAGGCAGCAGUAGGGAAUCUGCCGCAACGGGCGAAAGCAUGACGGAGCAACGCCGAGUGAGUGAUGAAGGUCUUCGGAUCGUAAAGCCCUGUUAUUAGGGAAGAACAGAUGUGGCCGUAAAUAUGGCGGUCUUGACGGUACCUAAUCAGAAAGCCACGGCUAACUACGUG
rnacentral:rRNA from 1 species